GUGGGGAAUAUUGGGCAAUGGGCGAAAGCCUGACCCAGCAACGCCGCGUGAGGGAAGAAGGCCUUCGGGUUGUAAACCUCUGUUCUUGGUGACGAAAAAAAUGACGGUAGCCAAGGAGGAAGCCCCGGCUAACUACGUGCCAGCAGCCGCGGUAAUACGUAGGGGGCGAGCGUUGUCCGGAAUUACUGGGCGUAAAGGGUGCGUAGGUGGCCUUUUAAGUUGGAUGUGAAAUACCCGGGCUUAACUUGGGGGGUGCAUUUAAUACUGGAGGGCUAGAGUGCAGGAGAGGGAAGCGGAAUUCCUAGUGUAGCGGUGAAAUGCGUAGAUAUUAGGAGGAACACCAGUGGCGAAGGCGGCUUUCUGGACUGUAACUGACACUGAGGCACGAAAGCGUGGGGAGCAAACAGGAUUAGAAACCCGGGUAGUCC
rnacentral:rRNA from 1 species